rnacentral:lncRNA from 1 species
GCUGUGCAUGUGAGCAGAGGCCAGAGGCGGAGGUGGAGAAGGAGAGGACUUGGGUGAGGAGCUGCUGCCACCCGGGCUGGGCCAGGACCUGAGAUCUCAUUGCUACUGCUGCCGCUGCUGCCUGGGGAACCUUUCUGAGACCCAGGUUGGGGACAGUGCCGGAGGGGCCUCCUCUGCUGCAGACAUCUGGAACCAGGUGCAGAUGGGUCUCUUCCUUCCUGCCCCCAUCUCUCUCACUCCUGGCUCAGUGCGGCACUCUCCAGCCUCCUGUGGGAAUCAUCUGAAGUUCUGAGCCCGGAAGCCAAGGAGGAAGACGAGGAGGAGGAGGAGGAGGAGGAGGAGGAGGAGGGAGAGGAAGUCAAGCCCUGAGAACCCUUGCACCUUCCUAGCAGGAGACAAGGAGCAACGCUGCGGUGGGGAGCAGGCUGUGGGGCCCCCACCCCCAGCCCUAGCCAGGCCUAGUGCCUGCUGUAGCACCCUA